AUUGAACGCUGGCGGCAGGCCUAACACAUGCAAGUCGAACGGUAACAGGAAGAAGCUUGCUUCUUUGCUGACGAGUGGCGGACGGGUGUGUAAUGUCUGGGAAACUGCCUGAUGGAGGGGGAUAACUACUGGAAACGGUAGCUAAUACCGCAUAACGUCGCAAGACCAAAAAGGGGGACCUUCGGGCCUCUUGCCAUCUGAUGUGCCCAGAUGGGAUUAGCUAGUAGGUGGGGUAACGGCUCACCUAGGCGACGAUCCCUAGCUGGUCUGAGAGGAUGACCAGCCACACUGGAACUGAGACACGGUCCAGACUCCUACGGGAGGCAGCAGUGGGGAAUAUUGCACAAUGGGCGCAAGCCUGAUGCAGCCAUGCCGCGUGUAUGAAGAAGGCCUUCGGGUUGUAAAGUACUUUCAGCGGGGAGGAAGGGAGUAAAGUUAAUACCUUUGCUCAUUGACGUUACCCGAAGAAGAAGCACCGGCUAACUCCGUG
rnacentral:rRNA from 1 species